AUGCAUGUCUAAGUAUAAGCAAUUAUACGGCGAAACUGCGAAUGGCUCAUUAUAUAAGUUAUCGUUUAUUUGAUAGUACCUUACUACUUGGAUAACCGUGGUAAUUCUAGAGCUAAUACAUGCUAAAAACCCCGACUUCGGAAGGGGUGUAUUUAUUAGAUUAAAAACCAAUGCCCUUCGGGGCUCCUUGGUGAUUCAUGAUAACUUCUCGAAUCGCAUGGCCUUGCGCCGGCGAUGGUUCAUUCAAAUUUCUUCCCUAUCAACUUUCGAUGUUUGGGUAUUGGCCAAACAUGGUUGCAACGGGUAACGGAGGGUUAGGGCUCGACCCCGGAGAAGGAGCCUGAGAAACGGCUACUACAUCCAAGGAAGGCAGCAGGCGCGCAAAUUACCCAAUCCCGACUCGGGGAGGUAGUGACAAUAAAUACUGAUACAGGGCUCUUUAGGGUCUUGUAAUUGGAAUGAGUACAAUUUAAAUCCCUUAACGAGGAACAAUUGGAGGGCAAGUCUGGUGCCAGCAGCCGCGGUAAUUCCAGCUCCAAUAGCGUAUAUUAAAGUUGUUGUGGUUAAAAAGCUCGUAGUUGAACCUUGGCCCCGGCCGGCUGGUCCGCCUCACCGCGUGCACUGGCUCGGCCGGGGCUUUCCCUCUGUGGAACCCCAUGCCCUUCACUGGGCGUGGCGGGGAAACAGGACUUUUACUUUGAAAAAAUUAGAGUGCUUCAGGCAGGCCUAUGCUCGAAUACAUUAGCAUGGAAUAAUAAAAUAGGACGUGCGGUUCUAUUUUGUUGGUUUCUAGGACCGCCGUAAUGAUUAAUAGGGACAGUCGGGGGCAUCAGUAUUCAAUUGUCAGAGGUGAAAUUCUUGGAUUUAUUGAAGACUAACUACUGCGAAAGCAUUUGCCAAGGAUGUUUUCAUUAAUCAGGAACGAAAGUUAGGGGAUCGAAGACGAUCAGAUACCGUCGUAGUCUUAACCAUAAACUAUG
rnacentral:rRNA from 3 species